AAAAGACCUUGAGGGAUGAUCAAUUGAGUGGGAUAAUAGCGAAGACGAUCUUCUCUGGAGACCCCUGCCUGUUAGAAAUCCCGCAAUAUCAAACAUAAUCACCCUUGCCCUUGUUUCAACUUGAUACCAAGAAGGUUGAUGAGAAAAACUAGCUGUAUGGACACCUAAUAAUGAGCCAAAACAUAGAAAUAAAUUAGAAUUCUCUGAGAUGAGGCUAUGAAUCAGAGGGUUUGCUCAACUUGAUACCAAGAAGAUUGAUGAGAAAAACUAGCUGUAUGGACACCUAAUAAUGAGCCAAAAAAUAGAAACUAAUUAGAAUUCUCUGAGAUGGGGCUAUGUAUCAGACGAUUUGUGCAAGUAACCAAAGCUCUAAGUACUAUCAAUUUCUGAAGCAAAAUUGUUUAGUGCAUAUAUGCAAACCAUGCCAACCUUAGAGAAUAAAAUUGCCAAGCACCCAAUAAAACAAAGGAGAAAAAAUUGUGUUUAACAAGCAUGUAAGUUUCUAAUCAAAGGCCAUAUGGAGGUACAUAUAACCAAAAUAUCAGCAUUCCCCCAUACAAAGAGAGGAGUACAGCAGAUGUGCAGUUAAAGG
rnacentral:lncRNA from 1 species